UCAAAUUAGCAAUCUUUGAAUUUAAUGUUUUAGGUGGUUUUUAUUCAUCUUUUUUAAAGAUGAGAAUUUUGCACAAAAUCUGUACCAAAGAACAAGAGUCAAAGGUGCCUAAGCAUGGUGCCUCAUGUGUACCAGAAAACAGAAGUAAAGGCCCUCUCACAGGUCACUUACAGCAGUGACAGGACAAGUACAUCUGAUAUACUGAAUUGUUUAAGAUGGGGUGCAUUGCAAGAAGGCAGAAAUAUAGAAGCGAAAAAAGCAAGAGCAAAAAAUGAGUAUAAGAAUGGAAGAAAGUGAAGAGAAAGAGGAAGGAAGAAAGGAAGAAACAAGUAAUGUACAAUGAUGUUACUCUAAGGAAUUUUUAUAUUUUUAUAUUAGAG
rnacentral:lncRNA from 1 species